rnacentral:rRNA from 1 species
CGCCCAAUAGCUAGCCCUCUCAACUACCUACAUCCUUCACACAUUACUACCCCCUAAUACCCUUAAUGAAUUAAACUAAACCAUUUUACCUCUUUAGUAUGGGAGACAGAAAAAGAACCUAUAGGCGCAAUAGAAAAAGUACCGCAAGGGAACGCUGAAAGAGAAAUGAAACAGCCCAGUGAAGCAUAAAAAAGCAGAGACACCCCCUCGUACCUUUUGCAUCAUGAAUUAGCAAGUAACACCUGAGCGAAAUGACUUUUAGUUCAAUUUCCCGAAACUAAGUGAGCUACUCCAAGACAGUCUAAUGUAGAGGACGCACCCGUCUCUGUGGCAAAAGAGUGGGAAGAGCUUCGAGUAGUGGUGACAAGCCUAUCGAACUUAGUUAUAGCUGGUUGCCUGAGAAAUGAAUAGAAGUUCAGCCUCUUCUCUUCUCCCUUCGCUAUUGGCCCUCCCUAACACCAGAGCAAAAGAAGUUAAGAGAGUUAGUUAAAGGAGGCACAGCUCCUUUAAAAAAGACACAACUUUCAUAGGUGGGUAAGGAUCAUAAUGAAUUCAAGGCUAAGUGUUUCGGUGGGCCUAAAAGCAGCCACCCCACGAGAAAGCGUUACAGCUCAAGCACUCCCCCUCCGCCAUUAAUUCUGAUAGCCCUUCCAACCCCCCUUAGCCUACCAGGCCCUCCUACGUUUACGUAGGAAAGAUUAUGCUAGUAUGAGUAAUAAGAGACACGACUCUCUCCAAGCACAAGUGUAUAUCAGAACGAACCCCCACUGAGAAUUAACGGCCCCAAGCAAAGAGGGAACUGGACUUAAAUAUAACUCACUAGAAAACCUUCCAGUAUUAACCGUUACCCCCACACUGGCGUGCCCCUCGGAAAGACUAAAAGGGGGAGAAGGAACUCGGCAAAAAUAUCUUAAGCCUCGCCUGUUUACCAAAAACAUCGCCUCUUGCUUAACCAUAAGAGGUCCCGCCUGCCCGGUGACACACAGUUUAACGGCCGCGGUAUUCUGACCGUGCGAAGGUAGCGCAAUCACUUGUCUUUUAAAUGAAGACCCGUAUGAAUGGCAUCACGAGGGCUUAACUGUCUCCUUUCCCUAGUCAAUGAAAUUGAUCUCCCCGUGCAGAAGCGGGGAUGCGCACAUAAGACGAGAAGACCCUUUGGAGCUUUAGACUACAAGCAGACCAUGUCCCUCCCCCUAAAUAAAAAGGUUAAACUAAUUGGACCCUGCCCUCCGUCUUUGGUUGGGGCGACCGCGGGGAAUACAAAACCCCCAUGUGGAAAGGGAGACUCCUCCUAUAAUCAAGAGCCACAGCUCUAAAUUUCAGAAUUUCUGACCAAAAAGAUCCGGCAAUGCCGAUCAACGAACCUAGUUACCCUAGGGAUAACAGCGCAAUCCCCUUUUAGAGCCCAUAUCGACAAGGGGGUUUACGACCUCGAUGUUGGAUCAGGACAUCCUAAUGGUGCAGCCGCUAUUAAGGGUUCGUUUGUUCAACGAUUAAAGUCCUACGUGAUCUGAGUUCAGACCGGAGCAAUCCAGGUCGGUUUCUAUCUAUGAAACGUUUUCUUCUAGUACGAAAGGACCGAAGAAGAGAGGCCCAUAUUGUAGACACGCCUCCCCCUAAUCUGAUGAAGUCAACUAAAGCAGACGAAAGGGCGUACCCGCCAGUCCUAGAAAAAGGACUU